rnacentral:lncRNA from 10 species
GCCGCACGCUCGGCCCCGCUUCCUCCCGGGCCCGCUCCGCAGGCAGCUGCGACUCCAGCAGCUCCAGCUUUCUCCCACUGCCCUCCUCCGGACACCCAGAUCCUCCUCUCCCCACUGCCAUCCCAAGUGGCGGAGGCGGACAUUUCCCUGAAACUCUGCGUCCGCUGGGGAGGCGAUCCCUGGAGAAGGAGAGCAUCCUCUCCAAGGCUCAAAGCCACACUCUCUCUGGGAGUGGUCUAUCCGCUCCCUGGGCCGGGAGUCCGUCGGGGGAGAGCCACCUGGUCAUCCCCUUUGUCCUCCUCUUCUCCCUCCCUUCCCGCCUAGCGAGGGCCGCAACAGGUGCAGAAGGCGCGGCCGCACAAUAACCCGGCGGAGCUAAGGGGCUGUGAGCUGCGGCCGGCGCUGGAGGAUCGCACAGUACCUGCUCGGAAUGCUCGCUCCGCCACUAGCUGCAAAACUCCAAGCGAGCCAGCCAGCUUCUCCGAGGCGGUUCUCUCGUCCGCAAUACGUGGGUGAUAAUGUAUCGGCGGCUUAGGGAUGUUGGGAAAACUAAGAGUUCACGUAGCAAAGCACUUAGCGAGGCGCGGAGCUCGUGGCAGGCGCUCUCCUACGGUGGGGUGGAGGGCUACGGGAACACCAGGCGACCUCCUCAAAGGGACCAGUGAGCCGAGAUUUGGAGUCUAAGACGCGUGGCCAGAGCCCAGUGUCUGCCGAUGAGCACUCACUCCUUGGCGAGUGAAAUCAAGCAUCUCCUUUCUCUCUGUUCUCCAUCAUUUCCUCCCGGCUCUCCUUCCCUUUAUUGAUCCGGGUCCUGCGGCAGAAAGCAGCGAGCGGAGGGAGAACUUGGCCCGGAGUCUGCGUCUGGCGCUGGGGAGCGGGGACUGAGCCCGGAACACCGACGGGGCGGCUGCGCCAACAACCACUGCGGACGCAGGGCGGGUACGAGAGGCUGAGAGGCUGCGUCCCGCCAUCCAGCCUCGCUCCAGCCGGGAGGAUCCGGCUCUUUAAGACGAUACCCUUAACCCUGCAGUCGCCCGGAACAGGUCCUGCCCCUGCCUGGGGAGGGAAAACCCCCACAGCAGUCCCGCGCCCCUUCCUCCCUAGCGUCGAGGAUCCAGCUGGAGAGACCUGUGCGAGGAAACCGAGCCGGAGCCAGCAGAUCCUGUUCCGACCUCGCCUCAUUACUUUUGUUACUCCAGCUGCCAGCAGAGCACGCUUUGUCCCUCCCGUGUGCUAUCAUUCAUUAACAAGACUCAGGCGGGCUUUAGUUUUUUAGUAUAGAACUCAAUGGUCUGUGUGCGAUGGUAAAUAUCACCCCCGGAUAUGUUGUUCCCACUCUGUCUCUCUCUUCAUGAGGAAACUAUACAGACAUAGGUCUAAUGUUAUCUCCAUUUUACAGAUGGGAAAACUGAGUCAUGGGGACAGGCUGCAGAUUUGAAGAAAGUCUCAAGACAACCAGGUCUCUCUUCUCUGCUCUAGGUUCAAUUUGGCCAAUUGACCUUUAAAUGUGAGCUCUUGGCAACCUGGUCUAGUGG